CUGAGGGAAGUUCAAAAACAUUAACAUGAUGAACUUUAACAUGAUGUAGAAAUAAAAAUGGAUUUGUGUUGGUCUGACUGAAAUGACAAAAAGUUGAUUUUCUCAUUAAUAGACUAACAUACCCAUCAACCUCACAGAUAACUCAGGGAAUUACUGCAUGUCUCACAGAUAAAAUCAGCCCAAGUCAAGGCCAAAAGCACAUUUGGUUCAUUCUCUCAAUUUUUUUUAGCUCUUUAAGAAAAAACUCAGUUCAGGCCCUGUGUAUAGUUGUCUGAUUCAAAGUAUUAAGCUGAAAGAAAAAUGAGAUGAGCGGUACCUCUCAGAUUCAUCUCAAUAUAAAUAUGAGGGUUUAGUCUCACAGUUUUAAAUCUUGAAACUGUCUUUCAGAUGCUUAUUCCGAGAUCUCAGCUCAGAGGAAAAUGAGGUAAGAGCAAGCUCUCAGAUUUGUCUGAUAAUGAAGGUUUAACAGUCUGAUAGCAUGAAGAUUAUAAGACAGAUGAUCAUUCCAAAACUUCAGAUAGGAAAACAAUCAGAGUAGUUAAAGUUAUCCAGAACAUCUCAGUAUAAACUCAAUAGAAACCAGAGGUCUCAUUCAAGUCAUCUACUACAAAAAUAACUAAAGACUAAAUCAAUCAUAUUUUAAACAGUAUGCUUCAAUUCUACCAUUAAGAGACAAGAAAGCCUUGAAGAUUUCCAGCUGUUUAUUUUUUUAAUAGUUUUGCUGUAAGAAAAGUUUUUAUCAUUACUUUUGACCCUGCAAAAAACUAGUUAGCUGGUCAUGCUCAUGAAUGCUAAAACCAUGGACUGUAUAAAGCCUAUACUUACAUGGUUUCUUAGGAGCCAGACGAUGGUGGGGGCCAGUUUGGAAAUGCUGAUUAGACCAAAGUUUUAAUCAGACAAAGAGGUGGAGUUGUUGCAAGCCUUCAGCCUUUUCAAGUCGGUGUUGAACACACAAGGGGAUUAAAACCUAAUGUAAUGUACAUUUCAAUCUGAAUCUUCAAAAAUUCACUAACAAUCUAUGAGAUAAUUUUCACCCACCUACUUGAACUCUAAAGAAAGCCCAAAGAUCCAAAGACAUGAACCCUUUAACGUGUGUCAAACCCCUGAAAGAACUCAAAGCGGCACGCUGGGUUACAUAAACCUUAAUCCUACAUAGUCAAAGUGAAGGCGGACUCUUCCGAAAUCUCUACCACAUCAGUCCACAACACACAUUUAUCUAUCUCGGGGAUAAAACCCCCCAAAAAAAACAACCCAAAAAAAGAUGGCGUGAUCAGUCGCCUAACGACCGGUGUACCAGAUCAAAACACAGUUCAAUAAAAGAGAGAAAAAGUAUGCAAAACGAGAAAUCUCAGGAAACAUUUGUGUUGAUGGCAGGUAUGCAUGUGUAACCUUGAGGCAGAAAGUGGGACAUUUCUUAUUUGUUUACUAGCGCAGUCAACGGAGAAAGAAAAUGACAAGCAGCUGUUGUGCUGUAAACUGCACGAAUCGGCAAAACAAACAAUCGGCAAACAUUGCGACCCUGUUCCUGGUAUUAGAAACAUCUAAAACAACGUCACAACCUGGUAAAUUGAGUGAAAUUCAUGGAUAUUUCAGCAAAUGUUUUUCUGAUUUUGAUGCAAUGAAAGACAAAGCAAUUUUUUAAUGAAAUGACAUUUUAUCGCAAUUGUGUCAGGGAGAGCUUCCAAAGAAUACGACAUCUUCAUUGAUAUCAGUUUACCACGAAGCAGGCGUUUGACCAUGGUUGUGCGCGCACCGAGUAUUGUUUGUACACAAGAAACCCGUCUAUUGACCAUCGAAAAAGCAUCACUCUAUCCCAGCAUGUUGGAGUUCAUACAAUUACAUGUUAAUAUGCCGUAAGAGGUUAUUUUACAAUUACUAAUUUGUUGAAACAGCAAAUGUAAUUAUAACACACCUUAGAGUAAUGGGUAUGUUGAAUGAUGGAAACAGUAUGUAGCCAUUUUGGUUGGAUUAGCUUCUUGCUGACCUGAGUUGAUAAAAGGCUUUGUGUGUGUCCAUUUGAACGUGUUAUAAACAGCAGUGGGUGUAAUUGCUCUUGAAUGGUCACUGAAUACCUUGAAAACUCUCUGGCCUUUUUCCUCUCAGUGGGGGUGAUAUUAGCAUUACACUGUUGGAACUGAGAAUGAUUAGCUGUUAUAAAAAGAGCGUGAUUGCUGCCGUGCCGUUUGAUAUGGGUCUACUGUCGCCAGGGUGACUCCAUAAAUUUCCCUCAUUCAGCUGCUUGCGAUCCUCUGAUUCUUCUUUUGAUGGCAUCCAUUGACCAGAGGUUUAAAAUAAGACAAGCUUUGGUCACACCCCAUAAAGUUACACAUCUGAAAUCAUGUGUCUUUUUGAUGUGAACUGUCUCAAAGACAAACAAACAGUUUAAGUGUUGAGCAUUUUGGGAAGCGUUUGAGAGCUGGUUUGGAAAUGCAGAUUUAUCACAUUAUCUUUUAUCAUUCAUCAUGAUCGGGUGCAGUACGGGCUGCUGGCUGCAUGGUUGAUGAUUUGCCAUCUGCAAAUUAGCAUAGCCAGCUUUUGCUAGCAGUGAGACAUUUGUUGUGUUAAGUAUGUGUAGUCAGUGAGUCAGUGUCUCAGAUUUUAUUUGCUGCUUGAUUUCUGUAAAUUUGCAUCCUCGGUGGAGAGUUAUUUUCAACGCUGACUGUCAGUACGAGUGGGGUGCACAUGCAAGUAUCAUCUCCAAGGAUAGUAACAUUUUAUCAGCAUGCCUUUAUUUGUACCGUCCUGUCUUUGUGCCCUCCCUAUAGAGUGUUUAUGUGUGUGUUUGUGUCUCUGUGUGUGAGGGGUUGUCCUUGAAGCCGGUGCACAUUGGUGUUAGAAUGAGGAUGUGUAUUAAUGUGUGUGUGUUUCUCUUCCCUCUCUGAGGACGAGCAGUCCCAUCCGUCUUCUGUGCUCAGUAAUGGGGGCUCAGGGUGGCUUACGCUCGGCCCCCUGAUCCGUCCUCAUUUGGUUGGCAUUUCGUUACGGGCCAGACACUCUUCUUCUGACACGCAGAGGCAACCUAGACUACCCUCCCUCCUCCUCCACCUGCCAUCCUCUCCUCUACUCCUUUGCUUUCUUUGCCUUUACUCGCUCCCUCUUACUUUGUCUGACAAAAACAAACACACACAACCUCUUGCACAUACUCAUUUUCUCCCCUUGUCUGCAUCUCAGCUUUACUCUGCAACCACAGGAUCAGGCAAAAUAAGGACAAAUUGUUAUGAAUCCCAAGGAAACAAGCAAAGGGGAUGAAAAAAAGAGAAAAAAGGUAGCAGCGCCCGCCUGCAAGGCAACUGUAAGCAUAAAUCCAGUGAUAUACUGCUGUGGUGCUCACUCUGUAAGUGCGUCCAUCCCUCAUAAUGAUGCCCAUAACGGUCACAAACUCCUAGGACGAUCCAAUGUCACACCAACAUCAGGUGUUGUGCUUUCCUUUGAUUUUGAUAUGGAUUCAGCAAAAGAUCAUCACAACGAUUUAAUUUCAGCUGCAGGGUUUCUUUUCCGAGCUCUGCUGCUUUGAUUAAUGCUGCCAUAUUGGAUUUAAAACAAGAGCGCAACACAAACAAAUGCCGAUACAGCCAGCCCCUGAGAAGUGAUCUACCUUGCCUGGCCAGGGGGCCGUGGAUAACGUUUACAGGCGGUGUGCUGCGAUGCACGCUGAAUACCCCUCGGCUUAAAGCAGCAGUCGACAGCAAGCUGAAACAAACCUCAUCUCGGUUAAAGGCAAUUCCCCUUCAUAGUGCUUCUCAAGCCCUGAGCCGCUGGUCCCAAAACAAAGCCAGUCAAUCUAAUCAUGAGGAAAGGUGAGUAGGGAGGGCAGAAGAAAGAAAGAGAGAGACGGAGGGGGAGGCUGAGAUAGAGCUGCGUGUGUGUGUGAGUGUGUGAGUGUGUGUGCAUGAGAGAGACAGAGUGGGAGAUAGGGCUUUGCAACAUCAAUCCUAUGAACUCGGAGGCCCAUGGCUGAGUCACAGAGGUGUUUAUGUGUCUAAAACCCAGAAUCAUCCUGUCUGCUAUCUGAGAGGAAAACUACAAGAGAUGCUAGAAUCUGCUUUUUCAUAUAGGCGGCCCCUGAAACUCUUAUAAAUAGUCAUCGCUGAAGUUUAUCAUAUUUUUUAUGAUUACCAGUUAGGAUAAAACGAUGUGUUACUGCAUCUGUGUGUCUCCAUCUGUAUUGCUUCUUCUGCAUCACCCUCUUUUUCACUUCUCGCUCUCAUCUGUUUGAGACAGAUGGCUGUCUUCUAAUGACUCUGGCUCUUCUUGUGUUUUCUGCCUGUUAAAUUAAAAGGACGUUUUUUCUUCCACUGAUGCAAAGUGCUUGCUUAUCAACCAGUCUUUAUUUUCAUCUCUCCAAAUCCCAAAUAAUGUAAUCUCAAUACACUGCAUACAAAAAAACAGGUCUACUGCAGAUGAUACUCUUUGUUUAAGAGCACCAGGGGCUGAGACGGGCCCUCGAAAUACUGAAUAGCAGAGUGCUUACUCAUGCCUAUUUAUCAGUCAAGGGUCACAACAUCUUCAAAAUGGAUGUCUAUUAUUAAAAUUUCAACCCUGUCUGAUGUACAAAUAGAGAGAUUGGCUCUUAAGAUCAAACCUUUUUUGCACCAGGCGAUUAAUGUGUCUUAAUCUGCUGUAAAAUGGGCGUUUUAACAUGGAUGUAAAUGAGGUUUUCUUGGCUUUUUGAACCAACACCACACUCAAGCUGCAGUUUUUAGCACUGCUAUGUAGUUCACUCAUUUAUCGUCAUUCAUUCAUUUGAUUAAACUUGGGGUUGGCGCUUGCUUUUAGGAUGGACUACAGCCAAAACUCUGAAUUUAAUCUUGUCUCAACCAGGUUCAGAGCUGAUAGAUGAUGAUAAAGUUUGAAAUACAGCCACUUUCAUGACUCUAAAAAGUUCUGCUCAUGGACCCUGUUAUCACAUACCUCUCCUUAUGGUACCUCUCCCUUGCUCUUAGUUGAAAGUGUCAUAAGAAAAUUUGGUGAUUUAUGGAUGAUUUGUAAAACAGGUUUUUAUUGCAGCCUCAAAUCUGACAUCUUCCACUAGUUUUUGCACCCUAUAAACCCAAACCCAUCCACACACACCCCUAAAACACUCACAGUAGCGCACAGAUGCACACUCUCUGCUUUUCUCCACCGCAUAUGGGAAUAACGGUCUGCUGUUUCGGUGUGUGCAGUGAGGUGAGUGUCUGAGUCUAGUCAGCACAACAUGGCCUCUCUGCGCUGCAGGAUAGCCCUACUGCUGAGCGCUGCAAGUACAGUACAUUUCAAUUUGUUCCGGGAGGGAUCAAAUUCUACCGCCUUGCAAAUCUCUCUGAGCGGCAGGCGAAUAAAUGGAGAACUGUAGGAAAUAUAAUAGAGCUGUGUUUGAACCACCAGGAUCCAAUCGAAGCCUGAAUAUCUGUAUCCACGAACUAUCAGCGGGGAGUCUGGACAAUCUGGGUGAGGGGGAAAUCAAUAAAAGACGGGAUAAUUACAGGCUGCAUAUCUAGCAAAAUUGCUUCUUAUACAUUAAUCUUUUCGUAAAUGAAAGGCAAAAAGCUCUUUAAAUACAGGUGUAUAGUAAAAGAUUCACUUCCCAGCAGGAGGACGGUUCACAGCAGUCCAAAGGCUUAUUAGCAAUCUCAACCUUCUGAUAGACGUUAUGAAUCUUUCAUUCAGAAAUGGAAACAGAGAAGAAUAAAAGUCCUUAAAGGUCUGCAGAAAGUUGAAGAGCAGAGGUUGAGAAAGGACAACUCAAACCUAAUUACCUUCAUCACUCACUCUUGCCCUUAAUGUAUCUGAUACCGUGCUCCCGGAAAUAAAAAACCUCAUCACUAAUAACUGAUAUCAAAGAGCUGAGGAGAGACUUUUCAGAGCUGGACAAUUUUUUUUCUCUUUUUGCUGAUACUUGAUUGCACUUUUUUCUUUUCUCUGAGGUGGCCAGAGGUUAAAUUCAUCACCCCUCCAGUAAGAAAAGACAGAGCAUCAGAAAAGGUAUAACUUUUCAAUUGUAGAGGGCAAUGACUGAUAAACAUUCAGGUGUUUGCAGCUUUUGAUUUCACAUGGCCACUAUUCUUUAAAGGAUGCAGCCUUUUGAGUGUUAUAAAGACCAUCCAGGCUGCUCUCUUCUGCAUUUGACCUACACUUUUGGUUCACAUAGCUCUAUACCCUCAUUGAAGCUGCCUAGCAACAAGUUAGCUGGCUAAGGUAAUGUGUAGCACUAGGGUGACCAUAUUCUGAAUCCCCAAAAAGGAUCCACAACUAUGCGGGGGAGUCGCACAUAGUACAUUUUUGAAUUUUUGAAUUUCCCGUGUUGGGUUGAGUGUUUUUUACGUGCUUCUAACUCAGGAAGUCCACGCGACACAAACUCAAAACUUCCAUACAAAACCCCGGACAUUUAAAGGAUUUUAUAAACUCCCCCGGACAAGGCCGGACAGCCCCCCAAAAAGAGGACAUGUCUGGGUAAAAGAGGACGUACGGUCACCCUAUGUAACACUCACUCUACCACUGACUUGAAACCAGACCUGCUAGUUUUUGAGCUUUCGGGGUAUUUGUACUACUAAUGAAUUUGGAGUAAUGUAAGUAUUUGCUACUUCGUAAUCUUUGUGCUGAACUUAAAACUCUAGCUGCUCUAGCCGAACAUUUGUCAAACCCAAAAGUAAGACUUAAUGACAUAUUUGGUUUUCUUACAUUUUGCGCACUUCUUGUUCAUCAUAGAGCAAAUAUUUAAAACUCCUAUGAGCAUUUUUUUUAUUUUACAUUUAUGAAAGAGACUGACAUUUAUGGUGUUGCCUUUUCAUGUGAUCCAAAAGCAAACAAGACCACCGGGGACAAGAAUGGAAAUGAGUAUAUUGUCAUUUUUAAUGCCUGAAACUGUUAUAAAGGAGGUACAUUAAGUGUCAGCUGAUCCGCUACAGAAACAGGCCUCUUUUUACAAGUUCCACUUAAUCUCUUUACAAUUAAUGACACAUUUGGUGGUAAAAAGUCAGUAAUAUAAUUUUUUUUUGCAGUAAGACACAACUUAGGGACGAAGAGGACAAGACAAGUAAAGAUCACUUUGUCCAUAAGGGGCGCCAAAAUUGGCAGAAACUGGAAAUCCCUUAUAGGAGCUUUAAGCUAGUUGGUGAGCAUCAGCCUAAGGUUGUUUGUAGUUUUUUUUAUCAUGUAUACUGAUGUCACUACUGUUGUGUAAAUUCAACAUAAAUUAGCAUUACCAACUCUUGUGAAUAUAAAGUGGGAUGUGUUACAGGAAUCUUUUUAUUAUUCACAGCCAAACUAGCAACCACUCCCCCUAGGGUCAACAUGGUGUCAUUGUAUGAAAGAGUGACUAGGUCACAGCAGUAUCUUGCAGUUUACCUGUGAUACUGUCUCUUUAAGAAAUGUUUCCUCUUCUCUACUCAGGCAUAGUUCAGUCAGCUAUUGAGGGGCCUAAUCCCACAUGUUGUCUAUGGGAGUCAGUUUGACACUCCACGUGAUCUUAAGAAGCUUGUAUGUGUUCCUGAAGAAUGUAAGUUGAAUUGCAUUAUCAUUUGAUGGAUAAUUUGCAUAUAUUCACUUUAUUUGGCCUAAAUUAUAAUUAGUUUAUGUGUGUUAUACAUGUUAUGUAUCAGAUAUUGGUUAUUAUAAAUCAGUUUACAAAUUGUUAAUAUUCCCUGUCUGUUUUUAUUCUGUUUCAGCAAUCAUACAUGCGUAUCUACCAGUACUCUUUGCUUAUCAGGACCUUGAAUAAACGUCGUCAAACGCAUACCUGCCUGCCGUGUCCAGCCAUCUACCUAUUCCUACUAACAGACCUUGAAAGUCAUGAUGCGUCUUAAGCUGAAAAACUUGACCACAGUGUCGGGAGAUUGAACCAGGUAAAGGGUCAUUUAUGAGUUUUACAAUAACCGGCAUUAAAAAGUCUACUGUAUGUUACUUUUUUGGCUGGUUCUGUUUGGUGUAGUGCUCCUUCACUUCCUGAGACACCUUGCUGUAGAUCAAUAGCUCAUCACAAGGCCCAUUAGCAGGGGGGAUGAAUCUAAUAGGGUGGUGAAAUGAGGAGUUGGUUUAAUCCGGUGCAAUAAAGCCUGAUUCUAAUUGCUAGAUGUAAAGAAGUGGAGAAAAAUGGCUUUUUAGUUGUUUUUGAAACAGGGUUCCAAUUAACACUGAUUAAUCCCCUACAUGGUUUUAGUGAUUGACUUCACUUGAGAGUUACAUUUAUUCAUUUUUGUGUGGUUGCAAAGUUAAAAAGAAAACAAUAGCUGUGAGCAAGAGGGUGUUUUUUUUUUUAAUCAAAACAGAAUCCCGCUCCAAUCUUUGUGAUAUUAAUGCUUCAUUUUGUCAUAUGAUGGCAGUAAUCAGUCUAAGGAGUGUUUUUAAGCAAUGUUUCUCACACUUGAAGAGUCAUUAAUACCAGAGUUUUACAGAACACAGUGAUUGCUUUCCAGGACCUGUAAUGAUUGUGGAGUUAAAUAGGUACCCAGUCAUUACACUUCGCCAUUUUCCAUUGUUUUCUAGUUAAAGGUAAUCAAUUUUCUUAUGAGCAUGAGUCCCGUAAGUGUUCCACUGCCUGUGUUGAGUGCGCUCAUUAAUCAAAGAGACAAACAUCCCUCAGAGGGAUGCUCGAAUCCUCUGAUGUAAGUUCUGUAAAACAAAAAAUGUCAUAAUGUGUAAAAAUGAAAGAUGAUACAGCAGCAGAAAGGUAAUAAUACAAGUGACUCCCUCUGUCGUGUUUUCUCUUUUGCCUUUAUCCAUCUCCCCCGCCGCCUCUCCUUUUCCUGUCGUCUUCCUCUGACUGUCUUCUCUCUCAUCUCCUCCCUUCCUGUUGGCUCGUGAAGGGCUUCAUUUGUCAUCCAGCAGGUGAUGAGUGCAAUGUUUUUCACCCUGACCUCUAUUCUGUCACUAAUGAGAUAUCCGCUAUACCGCCUCUUGCUCCCACCACUAAACUGAGACCAGGGUCAAGAACCAUAUUCACAAAAAGUUCUUUCGAUUAGUCUAAGCCAGAACAGAUUUGAUCAAUUUUUCACAUGGGAGACUUUAACAAACAUUGCAUUUUAUGGCUGUCAACCAGACAAUAAAGCAUAAAUAUUACAUUUAUUUUCUACAUGUCCAUGAUUGACACAAGAUAAAUGGUUUUAAUUCGGUAAAUUCCAGUCAUCUGUGAGUCAGAAAGGUAAAAACAAACUCAGAGACUGACAUUUUGAUCUAAUUAUGCAAACAAGGUGUGAUAAAGUCACAUACAAAAGUACAAAACACCUCUAAAAGUUUCAGGUUUAUGCAUCAGCAGCUACUUAUCAGUCUACCACCUUCACUUUCCUCUCAUACCCUCCGCAAACACAAUCUGGAUCUGUGUGCCCAUCAGGGGAGAAAAAAAAAAAAUUCUCACACCCUAAGAACUGACAGUAAGACUUUUUUUUCUUAUAACACCCUGACAUACGUCAUGCCUUUUGUUAGAAGUCUUACCUAACAUGUCACCCUCAGUCCUCAAGGUUUUAGUCUUUCCACACAGCUGGACCGCUCGCAGCAAAAAAGCAAAGCAGCAGGAGAGUAGAUUCUGUAAUGGACUGAAAAGUGAGCUGAAGUAACAGAAUCUUUUUAAAGCGUUGGACUCGAGACCUUCAUGGACCUUAAACUUAAGAUUUUAAACAUUUAAAAACACAUUUAUAAUACAGAAAUCUUUCAAUAGGACAGCUUAUGCAUUUCUAAGAAACAAAGCCUUCAGUGGCCUUUUUAAACCUCCACAAAUAAAGUCCUUUAGAGUCAGUGUCAGACGAUUCUGGGAAAAUGUCGGGUAAAAUUCAGCUUCUUUAGAGGUGAAGUGAACAGCAGAAGCACAUUACUUCAGCAUGCCAUCAUUUACACCUCCAGGGAUGAAAUCAAGUCUUCUCUGAAAUGAGAAAGAUGUGUUUGUUCCAAGAAUGACGUUAUGAAAACGUAUCACAUGUCUCUGGGGUUAGAAAACGACUGAACGACUACAGCAGUGUUAAACUUUGAUGCUCUAGUGGUUAUUUUCUGCUGCACUUACCUUGCCUUAAAAUAAACCUGGUGUGUAACAGAUUUUUUGGCCACUUGGAGGCAAAACAAGUUAUAAACACAAGUCUGUGAAAACAUCAUUGCAUAGAUCCAAUCUUAACUCGUCUUUUCGCUUUGAUUUGGUCUCCAUAAACUUUCAAAGAGACUGAUCUUUUUAUGUAGCUGCCAAAUAUUUUAAAAAGUCCCAUUAAAUUGUUAACUGUUGUAUGAUGCUGAGCAAGGUUCAGUCAACUGAGCUGUUUUAAUUCAACUUUUACUCCACACUAAAAACAGCACAUUUCUACCAAACAAAACCAAACUGAAGGUGAAACAGUGUGCUCUAACGGCAUGCAAGCAUCAGAUCAGGUCAAACAAAUCACAUUGCCAUCAGCAGUCCACAGGAGACAGGCUGGAUGUAUCAGCGUCAAGGGGGCAUUUCCUAACCUCUUGUUUUUGUAAUUUGUAAACAGAAAAAUGGAAAAGACCCCAGAGUCAAAGCACAGCACCUAAAUCAUGAAUGGAUGGGGAUGGAAGAUACCAAAUUCUUAGUUUAAUACAAUGGGGAUGUUUUUGACAAUAAAUGCCAAUAGAGCAUAUAAAUUUGUAUACAUUGACUUUUUUAAUAGCCAAUUAAAUCCUUGUUCUCUGCAAAAUCAGCCAAAGCAUUCAGAUAGUGAAGUUGAGCGUUCUCUACAAUAUUUGCCUCCAAAAUAUGAAAAGUUUGAAAAGUACUCAUUGGGUAUCAAUAUUUGUUAGAAGUACAAAGUAUGGUUACUUUAGAAUCAAUACAGCCAUCCCUACUUGUGGCCAGUUUGGAUAGAAAUCAAUGUAAUCCACUCGAUUAUGUUGCUGAUGUUCAUAUUGUUCAUUGUGAGGAUGCCAUUUAAGUUUGAUUUAAAAAUGCAGAAUUACUUUUUUGUAACUUUUUCACAAUUUUAAACCCUCCUCAACAAUUUGUACCUUAAUUCUGAUCAAUCAAAUGUCUCUGUUAGUGUCUCUUGCUAAAAACAGCAAUAAAACUGACGGUGAAGCUGAUUUUCUAUUCACUCUUACACACAUCAUGAAGCACAUUAAGUGUAUUCAUGUGAUUAAAGUUGAAAAAAGUGUUUUCUCUGACAUGCUUUAACUCAUUUGUCUUCACCGUGUUACCUGGCAGACAUAAUCAAGUCUUUAAUAAAAGCUCAAGAGUUUUUUUUUUUUUGAACAAUGUGACUAAUGUGGUGUCGUAAGUGAUAAUGAAAAAGGUGGCGGUUCAUGUAAGGCGACUUUGAAAUACCAAACGGCAUCAAAUAUUCAGUCACACCUUAACAAAGAGCGUGUUAUCAGCUAUUUUCAAAAGGAGAGGACAAAUAAGUUACAGUUGAGUGCUCUGGUAUGCUGUUUGCUUUAUUAAGAAGCUGGUGUGAUUAUUGAGAAGUGCAGUCAGGUAACUUUGAAUAUUUUUUUACUUUUCAGUUGAAAAUGUUCAAAUUUACUCUUUUUGUUUACAUGAUGAGAAGGUUUUAAAAUGAAUAAAUAAAUAGUACCCCCAAACUCUUGCCAGUUUAACUCUUAGUUUUACGACUAAUAAAAAACACAGCUAACACUUAGUUCUUUCCUGACAUACAGGAGGUUAGUGCCAAAGUCUGACAAUACAAUAACUUUAUUUAUCCCUAAAGGUAAAUUCAUUUGUCUGAAGUCUCAUAUUAUCUACUAUUUAUAGAAGAAUUAAAAAGUCUGAUGGCUACGGGUACUGAAGAUCUCCUGCAGUGAAGCGAGAAGAGCCAUCCACCUCAUUUUUUAGCCCCAUGAGCUUAAACAAAGCAAAACUAUAGCACAGUUUUAAAGCAAAUCAAAGCAGAGUAUGAUUGAAAAAAAAAAAAAAAAUUGAUUUUUGUUUUCCCACACUUAUUAUACUGUAUAUGGUACACAUAAGAAAUUUGAAGUAUUCUUGGUAUAUAUAUAAAGUCUAUAUUUGUGUGUAUAUGUGUGUAUUAAGGUAUGGAUGUAUAUAUGUAUGUAGAAGGUCUUUGUUUUAGUAUUAAUGAUUAGUUAUAUAGUCAUGCUAGACUUUGGAGCUUUGGUUAUUUUUUGGCAAAAGACAUGUAAAGGAUAAACGAAUAGGAAGGAAUGAGGGUCGUUACAUAAUAGCUUCAACCUAUUCCUUUUUGAUCUCCAAAAAAAUAGGGAAUUCUUUGUUUAAAAUUGUACUGUAUGUAAAUUUGAUUGAAUAAUCAAUACAAUCAAUCCAAAAAAUAAAAAUAAAAAUGGAUGUGUUAUAAAGUGGAUGAUCCAUGUUUUUAGAACCUACCUUCCUCAGGGUGCAUCUGUCUCGUUGUCAUUUGGCAGAUCGAGGGUUUAGUUUUCUCUGGUUGGACAGUUAACAAACUGUGUGAAUCCAGUCAGGUGAGAGGAGAGGGUAGCAUGGUUGAUGUCUUCUGAUGUUAUUACAAGUGCCUCAGGAUGUUGAGUCUGUAUCCUUGCAUCAGUAUUAUGGAGAACGUCACAUGUUACUGUGGCCAUAUUAUGUUUCAAGGGAGUUCAGUCAUAUAACAAUACAUGUAUACAUCCCACCCAAGGCAACGACUGAAGGGCAACUGCCAACAGUUCAAUAUCUGGAAAACACAUCCUCUCCUUGACAGUUAUGUGUGAAGAGUUACACCAUCUCUGGUUGACAAAUAAAGCCAGGCCUCCUCCUUUCGUCUUGCCACUAGCUUUAACAUCUCAGCCAGGCAGGUCCACACUUAAAUCCAGGUUGUUUUUGAUUCAACUAGGUUUCACUAAUACACAGGAGACCACACUCACAGUAAGCUUUCUCAGUCUAUACCAAUAUCUCCAGCUUGUUGAUUUCGAUGGACACAAAGCUGACGUUUCCCAUGAGGACACCUCCAGAUGUCCGCUGGACUUGGAUGUCGUUGGCGAGAUUUGCUCCAUCUCAAUGAAAGAAGCCCUUCUCUUGAAUAAACUCGUCUCCCAGCCAAAAUAUCCAUCAGCAGUUGACAAAUUAUAAGAAUAUUAAAAAAUUGAGAAAAAGUUGCAGAAAAUUAAGUUGGUUAGUUGAGCACAGGUUCAAGAAUCCUAGCUUCAAGAAACCUGAUGAUGAUGAGUCAGCUCAAACUCACCUGUGUUUUGUGAGGGACUUUGUAAACAUAAAAGUAUAUUAUCUCCUUCACUCCUACUACAUUCUCCUUAAGUCAUACUUAUUGUAAAAAAGACAAGUGAGUCGUCUAGAAUUGAGAUUUCCCAUACAGUGCUGCUACUCUUCUUGUCCACAGGGUCAGCUCAGGUGUCUGAGUAGUCUAUCUGGAGUGAACUGAAGAUGCUGAGAGACAUGGCUCACGACCUGGGGACCAUGGUGAGGGUCAGGUUAGAGAGAGAAAAGUCAGAGACAGUGAAGAGGAGGCUGAGGAGGAGAGGAGCGAAGUUUUACUCCUGACCUGUGAACUUGGAUACACGUCAGAGAAGGUGAAGAAGCAGAGGAAGAAGUUUUGUUAGCUAAAGAAAGAAAACACAGGUACUAAUAAGAGAAUAUCUCUUAUGGAAAAUGUCACUGUGUCCAUAAGAGCUCCAAAACAGCUGCCUUGACACAGAUGCAGUAUCUUUAAAUAUACACAUUUUUGUUGUUUUACCCUGUAAAAUUGUGAAAAAAGCUCUAUGACAUGACCUGGUCCUGCAUAUUUUAGAAUAGUAUUUCCACUAAGAUAUAAAAGAAUUUAUCUUGAAACCGAAACAACAACAAUAAUAAUAAUUUUAUGAAGGGAAACCAGUGUAUAUUAUCCCCAGACAUGUUUUUUGUUCUAUAAUAUGAGAGGCUAGAGGUUGAGCCACAUGUGAAGAACUGGUCAGAGGAAUUUAAUCUUUUUUCUCUUAAAGGUUGGCAGUUUAAUCCCCAGUUUUCAAACUUUACGUGACCUUCGGCAAGAAACUGAAACUCAAGUUGCUCUCUGAGGCGUAUCCAGCAGUGUGAAUGUGUUAGGUCUGGUGUUGUUGACUGUGUUAAAUACUUAUCUUAAAUAUAUUGAAGCCGCAAAUGCUUUUCCCCUUCUUUAUGAUUCCAGUGCUGUCGGCAGAGCUGUCAGGUGUAGGACACAGAGUGGCAGCCACUGUGAAAGACCUGGACUACCUGAGAGGAGUGUUCAGCAUGACUGAGACUCGAGUGCAACUGCAGAAGAUAAUUGCAGAGGACCUGGAGAGAACAAAGUCAAGUAGCCACGACCCCGUGAUUUAACCGGACCAUCCUAAAACCUUAGUACCAGUGGUGCUUGUGUUUCAAAUGUUGUGCAUGUGUCUGAAUUAUUUGAUUUCUGAUCAAAUAUUUGAUAAUUUGAGCAAAAGCUUGAGAAAUAAUUCAAAGUGCUUCACACUUAAAGCACCGGUUACUCAAACCUGCAAACAUUUUCCUUCUAAACUUCAUGAAUGUUUGAUUUAAUUUAAUGUUCCUUUUCUCUCAAAACACAAUAAUUUUUAUAUGGCUUUUACUUCUCCAAUAGAUAACUUUCAAAUAAGAUAAAACCACAUGGAAGUCCUUGCUUUGGUGAAAUAUUUUCAGAGGACAAUGUCAGACAUCAAACUAAAACAGAGUGACGUACAAAGUAGUUUGAGGAAAGCAGUGAGAGCAGAUCUGAAUGAACAUAAAAUACCAGGCUCAAUGUCACUGAUGAAAUAUGUAUAAAUAUCAGGAAGAUAUAAACCUAACUUAGAUAAUUUAGUACAAAUAUCAUACUACAAUAACAUUAUGGAUAAGUAUAGAAUAAAUCAGUGUUGUCAGAGAACAUUUGCAUUAGUAUGUUUUCCAAGUAUUAAUUGGUGUCAGGUCCAGGGAAUCAGAGCAUCGCCCCUAAUAGCCAUGCUGGUGGGGUGUGAAUGUUGACAUGAUUGGUACAGAAGCCCCAAGGGGCAAAAAAAAAGAAAAAGGUGACUUAUUUUCUUGGAUGGAUCCAAAUUGUUUUCACCCCUGUGUUAAAUAUGCUUCCUUAACAGUUGCAACUGUUUCCACAGUCAAAAAAGGAAAAAGAGGUCCAAAAAUUAUCCAAAGAAACUGUUUUUCAUUUGCUAAAGGCUUUCCUCUCACUCCUGUAACGAAGAGAUGGCAUAAAGAAACCUUUUUUCUCUCCUAUUGAUCAGAUAGAAAGAAAAAGAAACUAAAACAUUGAAUUGUAUCUUUAUUUUGUUAUUAAAUCAUUAAAACAGUAGGAAAAAAUAAUAAAAA